UACAGAGGUCCCAAGCGUUGUUCGGAUUCACUGGGCGUAAAGGGUGCGUAGGUGGUGAGGUAAGUCGGAUGUGAAAUCUCCGGGCUCAACCCGGAAAUGGCAUUGGAAACUACCUUGCUAGAGGAUUUGAGGGGGGAUUGGAAUACUUGGUGUAGCAGUGAAAUGCGUAGAUAUCAGGAGGAACACCGGUGGCGAAGGCGGGUCUCUGGGCAGUAACUGACGCUGAGGAGCGAAAGCGUGGGGAGCGAACAGG
rnacentral:rRNA from 1 species